rnacentral:rRNA from 1 species
GAUGAACGCUGGCGGCGUGCCUAAUACAUGCAAGUCGAGCGAACAGAUAAGGAGCUUGCUCCUUUGACGUUAGCGGCGGACGGGUGAGUAACACGUGGGUAACCUACCUAUAAGACUGGGAUAACUUCGGGAAACCGGAGCUAAUACCGGAUAACAUUUGGAACCGCAUGGUUCUAAAGUGAAAGAUGGUUUUGCUAUCACUUAUAGAUGGACCCGCGCCGUAUUAGCUAGUUGGUAAGGUAACGGCUUACCAAGGCAACGAUACGUAGCCGACCUGAGAGGGUGAUCGGCCACACUGGAACUGAGCCACGGUCCAGACUCCUACGGGAGGCAGCAGUAGGGAAUCUUCCGCAAUGGGCGAAAGCCUGACGGAGCAACGCCGCGUGGGUGAUGAAGGGUUUCGGCUCGUAAAACUCUGUUAUUAGGGAAGAACAAAUGUGUAAGUAACUGUGCACGUCUUGACGGUACCUAAUCAGAAAGCCACGGCUAACUACGUG